GAAAAACCACACAUGGAUACGAAGCGGUACCCGGUCUCCAGAAGCAUUGUUUCCGAUCUUUCUGCAAUCACUGACUUUCCAGGACUGAUGCUGCUGUACAUGCAUAAUGACACAGAAAGCCUAGAGGAUAGUUUUACCAUGCAGCUGACAGAUGGCAAGCGCACAGUCCAAGGGACACUUUACAUCUACAUCAUGCCAGUCAACGAUGAAAUCCCUCAUCUUUCCAGGAAUAUGGGUUUGGAAGCUGAAGCAGCUGAAAAAAAGCCAUUUCCAGUACUGGGUCACAGGCAGACACCAAAGAUGCUUCAGGGGAUGAGCUUGACCGAACUGACCCCAUGUGCCCAGAUCUGCAGCUGGAGGCAGCAGUGGCUACAUAAAUACAAGAUGCCCCCUGUUGCCAGAAACCAAGCCCACCUUCAAGUCUCUAUGGGCUCUUCAUCCCUUAAGAUCCCAGAACAUUCCAGAGGGGAGUUAAAACACUGUGGAGAACACCUGCCCUCCCCUCCUGCCAUGGCCACCUCUGUGGGAGCAGCGCAUGCCACACUGUGCCUUGUUUUGGUUGCUCGAUUUUAA
rnacentral:lncRNA from 1 species